UACGGGGGGAGCAAGCGUUGUUCGGAUUUACUGGGCGUAAAGGGCGCGUAGGCGGUCGUGACAAGUCACUUGUGAAAUCUCCGGGCUUAACUCGGAACGGUCAAGUGAUACUGUCGGACUAGAGUACAGAAGGGGCAACUGGAAUUCUCGGUGUAGCGGUGAAAUGCGUAGAUAUCGGGAGGAACACCGGUGGCGAAGGCGGUUCUCUGGGCCUUACCUGACGCUGAGGAGCGAAAGCGUGGGGAGCGAACAGG
rnacentral:rRNA from 1 species